CCUCGAGAGCUCUCCCUGCCGCCUCUCUUUCUUCCAGCCGCCGCCUCGUCCUCCUCUCCCUUCCGCUCUCCCACCUCCCUCCAGAUCUUGCGUGCAGCGCCGGAUUUCGGGCGGGCUGCAGGGGAUGUCGGCCAGAUUCCAGUUCCCGUGGACAUCCUCCCCAGCGUUCCUCAUGGGAGCGGGCCACGCGAUGAUAUCUCGGUGGUGGCAGCCGCGGACACCAUGAGGAGGCACAGUUUGGAGAUCUCGUAGCCGCGCUUUACACGACCAAAGGGCCUGCGCCGAUGUCAACGUCACCUCCAGGAAAAACGGCGGCGAGAUGCACAAAACAGAUCUAACAGAUCUAGGCGUGAGCAUUGCUGGGACGUCCACAAGCAGCCGUGCAACAUGUGAUUAACUAAUUGUAUUCUUCACUGCACCAUUUUUGUUUGCAUUUUUUCAUUUUGAAAGUGUAGAUGCAAACAUGGAUGCAGGGUCGUACAGGUGAUAGAUGAUACCAGUCUUCUCAAGGGAUUCUUGGAGAUGGGUGUUGCACAUGAUCCAGAAUGACCUCUUCCAUGGAUGGCCUAUUGACUCCAAUUUCUGGAGAUGGGUCGAUAACUGAUGGUCCACCGUAAUACAAGCAUCAAGAGGUGCUAUAGUAAUUGGUGAAGAAUGAUAUGCACUUAAGUACAAGGACUGAUGAUGGUGUGUCAUGGCCGAAGAUUAUGAAAAGAAAAUCUCUUCUCUAGUUGUUGCAUGAUUUCUUGUUAGAGAUGAACAACUACAAUGGUUAUCUAGAGAGUUUUGGGGUUCAUAAUUUCUGAAUGGUACUUUAUCUCCAGAAAUGUAUGU